GGCAACGGCCAUACCACGAUGUAAAAUACCAGUUCUCGUCCGAUCACUGAAGUCAAGCAUCGUCGGGCGCGGUUAGUACUUGGAUGGGUGACCGCUUGGGAACACCGCGUGUCGUUGUCCAUU
rnacentral:rRNA from 1 species